GAGGACAGGAAGUUCCCAGGUAGGGAUGUUUGCCUCUGGGACUUUGGGUUUUAUAGUGACCUGUCCUUGUUCAGCUGCAGAGGCACAGAGGCACCCAGUAGCUUUCUCCUUGAUGCCCGGGGCUGCAGGUCCAGGCUGGCUGAGGUUGACUGACACGCGGUUCCUCAUGCAGUGUCCAUGGGCAGGGCAGGCCAGCAAAGUCCGUACUAUCCCAACUUGGCUUCUGGUGGGUACCUUACUCUUCAACCCUGGGGCUGAUGUUGCAAGGUAAACUUACUGAGAUCUGGCCAGGCCUGGAGUCAGAGGGGAAGAACCAGAGCAGAUUCAGCCCAGGAGACCAGAGGAUGGACAUAUAUGACCUGGGGCAGGGCUAGGAAAAUUGUCCCGGCACCCCCUGCAGCAAGCACCAGCUUCCUCUGGGCUGGAGCUGGAGCUGGAGCUCAGUAAUAGAACUUGCCCAGCAAACGUGAGACCUGAGGUUCUGUUCCCAGGACCAAAAAAAAAAAAAAAAGAAUUUUAAAUUAAGCACCACCAUAGAAUUUCUUUAAGAAUAUAAGCAAACCAGGAGGCUAGACAAAAAGCCUUAGGGGCCAAGGUCUCAAGAUGACUCAUCUUGACUGGGCUUAUCCUCAGGUCUCUGCAACCCCACCCGGCCUCCACCUUUGUUGUUUAAUCAAAAAUGCUGCUGGCUCUGGAGUCAGGUGGUUUCACUCCAGACCUGGGUGAACUCCGGGUAGGCGAGAUCAUCCACUGUCUGAAGACACAGGCAGGUCUGUUGUAGCAAAAAAGAGCAUUCGUUCAUAAAGCCGGUGAUUAAUCCCUGGGUUGCAGGGGAGCUGUGCUGCUCUCUCUUCCUUUCUUUGUUCUCCCUGGGAGCCCUCUGCUGGGUGGCCCUUGUCUGUUGGCUCCCCUCCAGUGGUGGCCUCCAGCAGAGUUAAUGGCACCUCUGACAGUUCUGAUUCAAAUACAGCACCAAUGUUUACAAGGUCGGAGUAUAAGGCAGAAACAGG
rnacentral:lncRNA from 1 species